rnacentral:rRNA from 1 species
UACGUAGGGUGCAAGCGUUGUCCGGAAUUAUUGGGCGUAAAGAGCUCGUAGGUGGCGGGUCACGUCGGGUGUGAAAGCCCGGGGCUUAACCCCGGGUCUGCAUUCGAUACGGGCUUGCUAGGGUCCGGCAGGGGAGACUGGAAUUCCUGGUGUAGCGGUGAAAUGCGCAGAUAUCAGGAGGAACACCGGUGGCGAAGGCGGGACUCUGGGCCACUACUGACGCUGAGAAGCGAAAGCAUGGGGAGCGAACAGG